rnacentral:rRNA from 1 species
AGCGAACGCUGGCGGCAGGCCUAACACAUGCAAGUCGAACGCCCCUUUCGGGGGGAGUGGCAGACGGGUGAGUAACGCGUGGGAACGUGCCCUUCAGAUUGGAAUAACCCAGGGAAACUUGGGCUAAUACUGGAUACGUCCUACGGGGGAAAGAUUUAUCGCUGAAGGAUCGGCCCGCGUCUGAUUAGCUGGUUGGUGAGGUAAUGGCUCACCAAGGCGACGAUCAGUAGCUGGUCGGAGAGGAUGAUCAGCCACAUUGGGACUGAGACACGGCCCAAACGCCUACGGGAGGCAGCAGUGGGGAAUAUUGGACAAUGGGCGCAAGCCUGAUCCAGCCAUGCCGCGUGAGUGAUGACGGCCUUAGGGUUGUAAAGCUCUUUCGCACGCGACGAUAAUGACGGUAGCGUGAGAAGAAGCCCCGGCUAACUUCGUGCCAGCCGCCGCCGUAACAC